rnacentral:lncRNA from 1 species
GAGGUAGAUGAAUUUUAAGUCAAUAAGUCAUCUUGUCUCAAUAGUAAGCCAAAAACUUUCCUGGAAAUCUAGCAAAACAACAGUUCUAUGACCAGCCUUAUGUUUUGUUGCAUGUGUGCAUAAAAAAUGCAGAUUGACUCUUUCCUUUUCUGUUUUAGAAUUGGUUCCAAACAGUAAAGCCUGCCAGAAAAAACAGACAAACUCUCAGGAACAACAAUGCCCAUUAUGUGUGGAGUAGAAGCUGCCAGACUUUGAUUACUGGCCAGACAUUAACCCCUUUGGUGUCUUAGGAGGGAAAAUGCCAAGUCUGAAUCCAGACGUUUCCAGGACUUUACAGUCAUUCAUGGUGUGAGACCAGGUCCACUGAUUGCAUUUUGAGAGCUCAGAUAAGCAGAGAGCAAUGCAAUUUGUCACGGAAGGAUGAUUAUGUAUAUGCACUGUUAUGUGUAUGUAUAUACAGUAUGUGUAUAUAUGCGUAUGUAUAUAUAGUAUGUGUAUUUCAUUUGUUCUUUUACCAUAUCCUUCAAUAUGUAUUUACUGAUGAUUUAUUAUGAGAGGCUGAGAAUAUCAAGUUAAUUAUAAUUAAUUAUAAUAAUAACUACUCUUUAUUAUGAAUAUAUUGCAUAUCAACAUUAUGCCAAAUAUUUUACAUAUAUAUAUUUCAGUUACCUAAAAACCUUUAUGAAAUAGCCCCAUUUUAUGCAUUAGUAAACCAAGAUCCAGAAAACUCAAGGGCAUGCAGCUAGUUAAUGUCAGAGCUAGGAUUCGCAUUCAGAUCUGUCUGAUGCAAAACCCAUUUCCUUAUUCACUUUGUUAAAUUGCCUUCCCAAAGAUGAAUGACAUGAUACAAAGGCAUUUACCUACUUUAUUGGAAUUCACAUUCUGGUUGGCGAAAAAGGCAUAUGAUGCAGAACAUAAAAGGCUAUAAUACAACUAUAUACAAAAUACCAUGAUUAACUCAUUCUCUUAUGGGAUGGGAGAAGGUGGGAGAGGAUAGAAGAAGGCCUCAUAGGGCAAGUCGUGGUUGAGCUAUGCCUCUGGGGUGUGGGAUAUUCACUCAGCAGAGAGAGAAAAGGUAGGGG